rnacentral:SRP_RNA from 1 species
UGUGCUAUGUGGGGAGUUAGCGGUGCCCUAUUCUUGCAAUCCGCUUUAGCAAGGCAGAAAGUCUUUCUCGGGAAUGCGUGUCGAAGCAGGAUGAAUUUGGCUUGCGAUGAAGGAAAGGUCUUGUGCAAAAGUUACUUGUGAAUCAUGUCAGGUCUGGAAGGAAGCAGCAUUAAGCAAAUCUAACUUUGUGCCACAAGGAAACUUUUCUGGAGUAA